AACGAACGCUGGCGGCAUGCCUAACACAUGCAAGUCGAACGAUAACUGCGGGUCUAGGUGCGCACGGGAUGGUAAGGGGAGGGGACCGUCACGUAGGGGCGGAAUAACUCCCAGCGGGGGGUGAUAAUACGGGAUGAAUGCUUCGGACGCAUGAUUUAUCGACUUAUGAGGGGCCCGCGUGGGAGUAGCUAGUUGGUAGGGUAAACGCCUACCAAGGCUACGAUACAUAGCUGGUCUGGGAGGAUGAUCAGCCACACUGGGACUGUGACACGGCGCAGAGUCCUACGGGUAGCAGCAGUGCGGAAUGCUGGACGACGCGCGAGAGCAUGAUCCUGCCGUGCCGCGUGAGUGAUGAAGUCCUUAGGGUUGUAAAGCUCUUUUAACCGGGCUGCUAAUGACAGUACCGGGAGAAUAAGCGCCGGCUAACUCCGUG
rnacentral:rRNA from 1 species